AACAGUUACAGAUUUUUAAUUGUAAUUGAAUUAUUUACAUAAACAGUGAAGUUGACAAUUAUUUGUUGCUACAUGUAAGGUUUGGAUGACAGCGACUGUUACACAUUUGUCCCGACUUUUUGCAAAGACAACGUUUAGUGUUACAUCUAGUCUUACCACUAGCACUACAGCCACAUUUUAUGUAACCCUGACCAUUACAUAAAGAAACUUUACUGACAGCUUUUCUAAAGGAUAUUUCAUUAUCAUAAUUUACAGGUUGAAUAGCAAUAAAGUUACUGUCAGACAGUUCAGACUGAUUCCUGGUGUAAAGUCCACGUAGUAUUCCUUUUUUAAUUCCCAGUUGAUAACGAUGCUCUUCCUUUCCAGUCACAACAGCCAUAAGGUUAGGGGUCAUCCAUAAUUGUCAACCAUUUUCCAAAGUGUACAAAACGUACACUUGGGUGGAGGGGGUUAAACAAUCAAAAUUUUACCGUACGCCUUUAAAAAAAAUAAAAGUAAAACAGCCAG
rnacentral:lncRNA from 1 species